AACGAACGCUGGCGGCGUGGAUAAGACAUGCAAGUCGAACGGGAUUUUCUUUGGUAGCAAUACCGAAGAAAGUCUAGUGGCGAACGGGUGCGUAACACGUGGGCAAUCUGCCUUAAAGUGGGGGAUAGCUCGGCGAAAGCCGGAUUAAUACCGCAUGUGAUUACCGGAGACAUCUUCGGAACAUCAAAGUCGGGGCCACCUGACGCUUUUUGAGGAGCCCGCGGCCUAUCAGCUAGUUGGUGGGGUAACGGCUCACCAAGGCUUUGACGGGUAGCUGGUCUGAGAGGACGACCAGUCACACUGGAACUGAGACACGGUCCAGACACCUACGGGUGGCAGCAGUCGAGAAUUUUUCUCAAUGGGGGAAACCCUGAAGGAGCGACGCCGCGUGGAGGAUGAAGGUCUUCGGGUUGUAAACUCCUGUCAUUUGGGAACAAUGCUUACGUAUUAACUGUACGUGAGUUGAUAGUACCAGAAGAGGAAGAGACGGCUAACUCUGUGCCAGCCGCCGCAGUAAAAC
rnacentral:rRNA from 1 species